rnacentral:rRNA from 1 species
CCUACGGGUGGCUGCAGUCGAGAAUCAUUCACAAUGGGCGAAACGCUGAUCGUGCGACGCCGCGUGGGGGAAUGAAGGUCUUCGGAUUGUAAACCCCUGUCAUGUGGGAGCAAAUUAAAAAGAUAGUACCACAAGAGGAAGAGACGGCUAACUCGGUGCCAGCAGCCGCGGUAAUACAGAGGUCUCAAGCGUUGUUCGGAAUCACUGGGCGUAAAGCGUGCGUAGGCUGUUUCGUAAGUCGUGUGUGAAAGGCGCGGGCUCAACCCGCGGACGGCACAUGAUACUGCGAGACUAGAGUAAGGGAGGGGGAAGCGGAAUGCGCGGUGUAGCAGUGAAAUGCGUAGAUAUCGAGAGGAACACUCGUGGCGAAGGCGGGUUCCUGGACAUUAACUGACGCUGAGGCACGAAGGCCAGGGGAGCGAAAGGGAUUAGAUACCCGGGUAGUC